rnacentral:rRNA from 1 species
CGUGGAUAACCUGCCUCACACAGGGGGAUAACAGUUAGAAAUGACUGCUAAUACCGCAUAAGCGCACGGCAUCGCAUGAUGCAGUGUGAAAAACUCUGGUGGUGUGAGAUGGAUCCGCGUCUGAUUAGGUAGUUGGUGGGGUAACGGCCCACCAAGCCGACGAUCAGUAGCCGACCUGAGAGGGUGACCGGCCACAUUGGGACUGAGACACGGCCCAA